AGUGAGGUGAAGCAAAGUGAGUUAGCUAAUUCAAGUUCAAGCAACUUGAACGGAGAUGUUCCAUCAUCUAUCACUUUGGUCAAAAAGCAGUUUGCUGGUAAAUAUGCCAUAUCAGCCGAGGAGUUUACACCUGAAAUGGUUGGUGCUAAAUCACGCAAUAUCUCAUAUCUGAAAGGAAAAGUGCCAUCUUGGGUUGGGAUACCCACGUCAGUUGCCCUUCAAUUUGGAGUAUUUGAGAAGGUUCUUGCAGAUAAACUAAACAAUGAAGUGGAUGAGAAAUUUUAAAUUUUGAAGAA